rnacentral:misc_RNA from 1 species
CAGAGUUCAUGCCCUUCGGGGUAGAUCUCCCACCCUUGCCUAUUAUACCUUUGUUGCUUUGGCAGGCCGCGCAAGCCACUGGCUCCGGCCGGUGUGUGCCUGCCAGAGAACCACAAACCCUGAAUUAUUAGCGUCGUCUGAGUACUAUAUAAUAGUUA